rnacentral:rRNA from 1 species
CACGUGGGGAACCUGCCCCAUAGUCUGGGAUACCACUUGGAAACAGGUGCUAAUACCGGAUAAGAAAGCAGAUCGCAUGAUCAGCUUUUAAAAGGCGGCGUAAGCUGUCGCUAUGGGAUGGCCCCGCGGUGCAUUAGCUAGUUGGUAAGGUAAAGGCUUACCAAGGCGAUGAUGCAUAGCCGAGUUGAGAGACUGAUCGGCCACAUUGGGACUGAGACACGGCCCAAACUCCUACGGGAGGCAGCAGGG